rnacentral:misc_RNA from 1 species
GGCUGCAGUUGUUUCUUAAGCAUGAAUUUUGAUGUGCAAACCAAAGUGGUCUUUUAACUGUUUGGCACUCUGAUUGAUGACAUUCAAGGAAACGUCUUCAGGUUGUAGGUAUCAUGUUGUUAUACGCUGAGGUUAAUUUACACAUUGAGGCUGUUCUUCUUAAUAUUGGGGGAUAAGGGAUUUUGGAAGUAAUUGGAGCUUGACAAAUU